GCCGGGUGUGGUGGCAUGUGCCUGUAGUCCCAGCUACUCAGGAGGCUGAGGUAGGAGGAUCGCUUGAGCCCAGGAGUUCUGGUCUGUAGUGCGCUAUGCCGAUCGGGUGUCCGCACUAAGUUCGGCAUCAAUAUGGUGACCUCCUGGGAGCGGGGGACCACCAGGUUGCCUAAGGAGGGGUGAACCAGCCCAGGUCGGAAACAGAGCAGGUCAAAACUCCCAUGCUCAUCAGUAGUGGGAUCUCACCUGUGAAUAGCCAUUGCACUCCAGCCUGGGCAAAAGAGUGAGACCCCGUCUCUU
rnacentral:SRP_RNA from 1 species